AACUUUUAACAACGGAUCUCUUGGUUCUGGCAUCGAUGAAGAACGCAGCGAAAUGCGAUAAGUAAUGUGAAUUGCAGAAUUCAGUGAAUCAUCGAAUCUUUGAACGG
rnacentral:rRNA from 1 species